GACGAACGCGGGCGGCGUGCCUAAGACAGGCAAGUCAAACGGAAGGGCCCGCCGCCUGGGGCUGGCUCGACAGGCAAACGGGUGUGUAACACGCGAGUACCCUGCCCUUGACUUUGGGACAACUUCAGGAAACUGGGGCUAAUACCGGAUAGGAGCUCCUGCUGCAUGGUGGGGGUUGGAAAGUUUCGGCGGUUGGGGAUGGACUCGCGGCUUAUCAGCUUGUUGGGGGGGGAGGGGCUUACCCAGGCUUUGACGGGUAGCCGGCCUGAUCGGGUGACCGGCCCCACUGGGACUGGGAUACGGCCCCGGCUCCUCCGUGUGGCAGCAGUCGGGAAGCUUGCACAAUGGGCCGAGGCCUGAUGCAGCACCGCCGCGUGCGGGAUGCCGGUCUGCGGGUUGUGGGCCGCUUUCGCCUGUAGCGAGGAGUGAGUCACGGUCAUGGGUAGAGAGUCCACCGCUAGCUACAUC
rnacentral:rRNA from 1 species